rnacentral:snRNA from 1 species
GUGUAGUGUUGCUACACAUACGAUAAAAUUGGAACGAUACAGAGAAGAUUAGCAUGGCCCCUGGCGCAAGGAUGACACGCACAAUCGUGAAGCGUUCUCAAUUUUG